UACGGGGGGAGCAAGCGUUGUUCGGAUUUACUGGGCGUAAAGGGUGCGUAGGCGGCUCAGAAAGUAGGGUGUGAAAGCCCUCGGCUCAACCGAGGAAUUGCGCCCUAAACUACUGGGCUUGAGGAACGCAGAGGUAAGCGGAACUUACGGUGGAGCGGUGAAAUGCGUUGAUAUCGUAAGGAACACCAGGAGCGAAAGCGGCUUACUGGGCGUUUUCUGACGCUGAGGCACGAAAGCCAGGGGAGCGAACGGG
rnacentral:rRNA from 1 species